rnacentral:rRNA from 1 species
UACGAGGGGGGCGAGCGUUGUUCGGAAUUAUUGGGCGUAAAGGGUGCGUAGGCGGUUUGGUAAGUCUUAUGUGAAAUCUACAGGCUCAACUUGUAGUCUGCAUGAGAAACUGCCGGGCUUGAGUAUGGGAGAGGUGAGUAGAAUUCCUGGUGUAGCGGUGAAAUGCGUAGAUAUCAGGAGGAACACCUGUGGCGAAAGCGGCUCACUGGACCAUAACUGACGCUGAUGCACGAAAGCUAGGGGAGCAAACAGG